GAUGAAGAACGUAGCGAAAUGCGAUACUUGGUGUGAAUUGCAGAAUCCCGUGAACCAUCGAGUCUUUGAACGCAAGUUGCGCCCGAAGCCUCGGCUAAGGGCACGUCUGCCUGGGCGUCACGCAUCGCGUCUCCCCCAAACCGCCAAGGCGGAGGGGAAGGAAGAUGGCUUCCCGUGCCUCACCCGGCGCGGUUGGCCUAAAUUUGGAGCCCGCGGCACUUAGCUCUCGCGGCGAUAGGUGGUGAACAAGGCCUUGGCCGUGCAAACAACCCGCUGCGAAGCUCUAUGUCACGUGCGCUCGUCGGACCCUUUGAAGUUGCCUUCGGUGACUUAAAACCUUUGCGAACCCAGGUCAGGCGGGGCUACCCGCUGAAUUUAAGCAUAUCAAUAAGCGGAGGA
rnacentral:misc_RNA from 1 species